GGCAAUGGAAAUGACAAAAAAGAGAUGAAUAAAUCCGAUUUGAAUACCAACAAUUUGCUCUUCAAACCUCCUGUAGAGAGCCAUAUACAAAAGAAUAAGAAAAUUCUUAAAUCUGCAAAAGAUUUGCCUCCUGAUGCACUUAUCAUUGAAUACAGAGGGAAGUUUAUGCUGAGAGAACAGUUUGAAGCAAAUGGGUAUUUCUUUAAAAGGUAUAUUCAUUUAUUUUCCCAUGUUCAUUUUCUGUAGGUAAAUAUUGAACUUUUGGCUGUUUUACCUAGAUGUUGUGAUUAUAUGUACUUUUUUUCCUACAUGAUCAUUUCAGUAUUUAAAGCUGUAGUGUGGUUGAACAGUGACUGAUGAUAAUUUUUGAACUACGAUAAACUAAAACAACAUAAAAAAAUGCAAAGAUAUAUUCCGGUCUCUUGCUCAUGUCUGUCUUGCUGAAAAUCCUAAAACAAUCUACUUCAAAGAUUAACCAACAGCAAUAUAGGUUGGAUAUAGAAGGAUAUCAGUCAGGAAUUCUGAUUGAUUGAGAUUACAAGGAACCCUUUCCAUCUGGGACUCAUGAUAAUUCCUCAUAACGU
rnacentral:lncRNA from 1 species